rnacentral:rRNA from 1 species
ACCCUGAUCCAGCCAUGCCGCGUGUGUGAAGAAGGCCUUUUGGUUGUAAAGCACUUUAAGCAGUGAAGAAGACCAUAUGGUUAAUACCCAUAUGCGAUGACAUUAGCUGCAGAAUAAGCACCGGCUAACUCUGUGCCAGCAGCCGCGGUAAUACAGAGGGUGCAAGCGUUAAUCGGAAUUACUGGGCGUAAAGCGAGCGUAGGUGGCUUGAUAAGUCAGAUGUGAAAUCCCCGGGCUUAACCUGGGAACUGCAUCUGAUACUGUUAAGCUAGAGUAGGUGAGAGGGAAGUAGAAUUCCAGGUGUAGCGGUGAAAUGCGUAGAGAUCUGGAGGAAUACCGAUGGCGAAGGCAGCUUCCUGGCAUCAUACUGACACUGAGGCUCGAAAGCGUGGGUAGCAAACAGGAUUAGAUACCCUGGUAGUCCACGCCGUAAACGAUGUCUACUAGUCGUUGGGGAACUUGAUUCCUUAGUGACGCAGCUAACGCAAUAAGUAGACCGCCUGGG